GACGGCGGAUCGUGCGAGAAAUCCCGUGAACCCGGUCAGGCCCGGAAGGGAGCAGCCGCAGCUUCUCCUUUCUGUGUUGUGCCCGCCGCGUUU
rnacentral:SRP_RNA from 1 species